GUAUUUAAUGGCACAAUGGAUUACUGCAUCUGACUGCUAAGCAGAAGGUUGGUGGUUCAAGCCCAGCCAGGGACG